CGGAAGCGGAAGUGGCUUAGCGCGGGAGCGGCGGCGGCUGCGGAGCGGGAGGCGGCAUCCUGGGCGGUAAGUGGCGGCGGCGGGGUCCCUGACCGACUGGCGCGGCCCCGGCCCGGCUUCCACCCCAGCCGCAGGACGGGCUGCCGUGGGGCCGUCCCAGCUGACGCCCAGCGGGAAAAGGGGGCGGCGGGCCGCUCUGCGGGGCUCUGGGCCGGCCCCAGGUCGCCGCCCCGAGCUCGCUGCUCGCCGGAGACUCGGGACCCGGGUGCUCGGAGCUCGCUGCGUCAGGCUGGCGGGGACCCCGCGCUCCCACCCGCCGCCGAGUGCCUCGGUCCCGCGGGCACCUAGUCGGACGUCGAGAGUCACUCCCCAUCCAACAGGGCGCUGGAAAGCGAACCCGAACGUGCGGCGCACGCUCGCUGGGCAGAGACCACCGUGGGCCCCGCUGUCCGCUCGCCACCGGGCCUUUGCGCGCAGCCGCUCCGCGCCGGCCUGGGGCGGGCGCCCCCAGCAUGCCCGCUGUUUCUUUGCACGUCUGACGUCCUCUCGUUGUCUUGCUACAGUAUUCCUUCCCUGACGCCCACCCCGACCUUGACCCCCUUCUCUGUGUUCCCGAUGACCUCUGAUGCUUAACCUGUCACAAUGUGUUGUCUUUUGACCCCAUCAGAAUGUAAAUUCCCUGAGAGCCGGGACUCUGCAGAGCAAGUUCAAAGCAACUGCUUAGAAUUGAAGCAAAAAGGGUUUUCCAUACGUUGAGUUAAAAAUCCAGAGCAUGAAAGGGUCUCGGGUAAAAAUUCAGGGUCCUGCCCACCCCUGAUGGCUGAGCAGCCUGGUUACCCGUUCUCCGGGAAGACAUACAGCAGUUUCUUAUGUGUCAACAGGGAAAGUCAGUGCACGGACGUCUGAUACGUUUAUACAAAACUUAGGGCACUUUACGUGUGAUCCUUUUACUCCUCGUGGCUUAGAGGGCACUCUGCGUUCCCGCUUGCAGAUUUUAAUCAUCGCGCCGUUUUAUUGGAAUAUUUCUGUAGGCUGACUUCCUUCGUGCAGAAGUGCUAGGUCAACGGGCUUUCCUACGAAAGUACAGAGGCGGCGGCCAGUACCCCCGUUGCUGACGCUCCAUCUUGUACGUAGGUCUGGUAGGUGUGAAUAGUGUUUCAUUGUGGUUUUGUGUUUCUUACACGGAUAAUAAAAUAUCUCAGUUCCUUUUGUGA